rnacentral:rRNA from 1 species
GACGAACGCUGGCGGCGUGCUUAACACAUGCAAGUCGAACGGAAAGGCCCUGCUUUCGUGGGGUGCUCGAGUGGCGAACGGGUGAGUAACACGUGAGUAACCUGCCCUUGACUUUGGGAUAACUUCAGGAAACUGGGGCUAAUACCGGAUAGGAGCUCCUGCUGCAUUGUGGGGGUUGGAAAGUUUCGGCGGUUGGGGAUGGACUCGCGGCUUAUCAGCUUGUUGGUGGGGUAGUGGCUUACCAAGGCUUUGACGGGUAGCCGGCCUGAGAGGGUGACCGGCCACAUUGGGACUGAGAUACGGCCCAGACUCCUACGGGAGGCAGCAGUGGGGAAUAUUGCACAAUGGGCGGAAGCCUGAUGCAGCAACGCCGCGUGCGGGAUGACGGCCUUCGGGUUGUAAACCGCUUUCGCCUGUGACGAAGCGUGAGUGACGGUAAUGGGUAAAGAAGCACCGGCUAACUACGUG